GGAAUGGAAAACUGUAAAAAAACCAACACAGAUUUUGAAAAGAGCAAUGAGAAAAUUCUACAACAGAAAAACACAAUAAAUAAAAUUUACACAUAGGUUGAGGAACAUAUGAGACAUAUGAGCAUAUGCUGGAAAGAGAAUUAGUGAACUGGGAGAGAGGCAAAGGAACUAUCCAGAAUAAAGUACAGAAAUGCAAAUGAUAAAAAAGAUACAUAAGAAAGAGUAAGAAAAAAAAAAUAAAAAGAAAGAAAGAAAAGAAAUGUAAACCUUAGCACCAAACAGAAAAGAAAACACAAAGACAGAGUACCCUCGAAGUUUCAAAAAUUAGACUGACAGCUGACUUCUGAACUACAAUAAUGGAUGCCAGAAAUAAUGGAAGGACACAUUUAAUGGAUGGAAGAAAAAAUAACUGCCAAUUCUAUGUUUAUCCAGUGAACACACCCCUCAAGAAUGAGAGCAAAAUGAAUACAUUUUGAAAAAAUUAAAGCUGAAACAAUUUUCCACCAAGAGAUCUACAUUUUGCAAAAGCC
rnacentral:lncRNA from 1 species